ACGCGAGGAGGUAGGAGAAUUGCAAUAAGAAACUCAUCUUUUAUAUCACCCCUUUCCAAAUAGUAGUAUCCUUCAUUUUGAAUAUCCUGGGGAAGAAGUGUUGUUGAAGCGAAGGCUUUGUGAAAACCAAAACCCUCUCCGCUAGAAGACUCGCGGACCUACUCACUGUUUCCGGCGAUUACCCUAUCACGGUACGCCCAAAUUUCAGUAUCUCUAUGUUCUGCUUACACACACUCUCUCAUCUCGAUAUCCGUUUGUUUGUUUGAUUCAGAUGCAUCAGAAUAGUGGAGCCGCCGAUUUGGCUCAGCUUCAAGCCACCAUGCAAGCAAUCGAAUUCGCUUGCACUUCUAUUCAGGUCAUUUUGUCAACUAGUUUUGUCAUAUCUGAAAUCAAUUCAACUGCUAAACCAUAUUUGCCAUGUUCCGUUGCAAUCAAGAUGUAUAGGUGCUGUAACUGUUGUUGGUUUGGUAUGUACUGCUUUUAGCAGCCAUGUUUUCUCGAGUAACUUCUCUUUACCAAACCAAAUGAUCUAAAGCACAACCUAUGCGGUGAAAUUAAGUGAUGGCAAGUUCUAAGUGAGUGCUAAACAUUUUGGUUUAUGCCUUCUUUAGUUGAGAAUUGUGAAAUUAAGUUAGUCUAGUCGUAUUUAUCUGAAGAAUUUAUUCUUGUGGUAUUGGAUGUUGUAUAAUUCUAAAGGCCUUAUAAAAUUGAAAUAGGUCCCCUUUCCAUUCUUUUCCCUUUUGCUGCUGAUGGGUUCCAGAGACGAGCUUCAGUGCCACACAAUUUACUUGAUGAUUGUUCUCCAUGAUUUAUUAAUCCUCAUAACCAUA
rnacentral:lncRNA from 1 species